AAAAAAAAGUAUGGUUUCAGAAUAUUGCAAUAGAAGUAUUAAGCCAUUAGAGUCAUGCAAACUAAAAAUGGCCUUUGUACGACAACAACAUCUUUGAAUGCAAAAGUCUCUACCUACCCUGUGCAAGAUUUAGACUGACCUAGUUGAAUCAUGACAUUUUUAACUACUAAGUAGCUUUAGAGUCUACGUAUAUCAUGUUACUUUACAAACAUACACACAUUCAUGUACU
rnacentral:lncRNA from 1 species